AAGUCGUAACAAGGUUUCCGUAGGUGAACCUGCGGAAGGAUCAUUACCAAUUCGAUUUUGGCUUGGAAAAUGGCGUCGCAAGAUGCUGUUUUUCACUCCAUCCAACCAACCUUUGAUUGUGAACCUUGAGCAUUCAAAAAGUCUUCCCUGCAAAAACCGCACAUUCGUGUGUGGGAUGUUGUGGGGAAGCAAUUUUAUCCAACCCCAACCAUAUCCGCACCGCACCGCGCGCGUGUGGAAAAAGCAAGCGUUGAGCUCCGAAACUGAAAAAACAAAAAAUGUCAUGUACAACUUUUAACGGCGGAUCUCUUGGCUCGU
rnacentral:misc_RNA from 1 species